rnacentral:rRNA from 2 species
UGCAAGUCGAACGCUUCUUUUCCCACCGGAGCUUGCUCCACCGGGAAAAGAGGAGUGGCGAACGGGUGAGUAACACGUGGGUAACCUGCCCAUCAGAAGGGGAUAACACUUGGAAACAGGUGCUAAUACCGUAUAACAAUCGAAACCGCAUGGUUUCGUUUUGAAAGGCGCUUUACGGUGCCGCUGAUGGAUGGACCCGCGGUGCAUUAGCUAGUUGGUGAGGUAACGGCUCACCAAGGCCACGAUGCAUAGCCGACCUGAGAGGGUGAUCGGCCACAUUGGGACUGAGACACGGCCCAAACUCCUACGGGAGGCAGCAGUAGGGAAUCUUCGGCAAUGGACGAAAGUCUGACCGAGCAACGCCGCGUGAGUGAAGAAGGUUUUCGGAUCGUAAAACUCUGUUGUUAGAGAAGAACAAGGGUGAGAGUAACUGUUCACCCCUUGACGGUAUCUAACCAGAAAGCCACGGCUAACUACGUGCCAGCAGCCGCGGUAAUACGUAGGUGGCAAGCGUUGUCCGGAUUUAUUGGGCGUAAAGCGAGCGCAGGCGGUUUCUUAAGUCUGAUGUGAAAGCCCCCGGCUCAACCGGGGAGGGUCAUUGGAAACUGGGAGACUUGAGUGCAGAAGAGGAGAGUGGAAUUCCAUGUGUAGCGGUGAAAUGCGUAGAUAUAUGGAGGAACACCAGUGGCGAAGGCGGCUCUCUGGUCUGUAACUGACGCUGAGGCUCGAAAGCGUGGGGAGCAAACAGGAUUAGAUACCCUGGUAGUCCACGCCGUAAACGAUGAGUGCUAAGUGUUGGAGGGUUUCCGCCCUUCAGUGCUGCAGCUAACGCAUUAAGCACUCCGCCUGGGGAGUACGACCGCAAGGUUGAAACUCAAAGGAAUUGACGGGGGCCCGCACAAGCGGUGGAGCAUGUGGUUUAAUUCGAAGCAACGCGAAGAACCUUACCAGGUCUUGACAUCCUUUGACCACUCUAGAGAUAGAGCUUCCCCUUCGGGGGCAAAGUGACAGGUGGUGCAUGGUUGUCGUCAGCUCGUGUCGUGAGAUGUUGGGUUAAGUCCCGCAACGAGCGCAACCCUUAUUGUUAGUUGCCAUCAUUUAGUUGGGCACUCUAGCAAGACUGCCGGUGACAAACCGGAGGAAGGUGGGGAUGACGUCAAAUCAUCAUGCCCCUUAUGACCUGGGCUACACACGUGCUACAAUGGGAAGUACAACGAGUCGCGAAGUCGCGAGGCUAAGCUAAUCUCUUAAAGCUUCUCUCAGUUCGGAUUGUAGGCUGCAACUCGCCUACAUGAAGCCGGAAUCGCUAGUAAUCGCGGAUCAGCACGCCGCGGUGAAUACGUUCCCGGGCCUUGUACACACCGCCCGUCACACCACGAGAGUUUGUAACACCCGAAGUCGGUGAGGUAACCUU